GUUUGUGUAGCUUAACCAAAGCAAAGCACUGAARAUGCUUAGAUGGACUUUAAUCAGUUCCACAAGCA
rnacentral:tRNA from 1 species